CUUAGUAGGCAAUUGUAAUCAAAGUAUAACUGGGUAGACAAUGGUCAUCAAAGGUAUAAAUGGGUAGACAAUGGUCAUCAAAGUAUAACUGGGUAGACAAUGGUCAUCAAAGUAUAACUGGGUAGACAAUGGUCAUCAAAGUAUAACUGGGUAGACAAUGGUCAUCAAAGUAUAACUGGGUAGACAAUGGUCAUCAAAGUAGAACUAGGUAGGCAAUGGUCAUGAAGGUAUAUUUUUCUAUUUCUUUGUAAUCGUAAACUAAUACAAUAAAACUUUCAUAUUUAAGCAGUGUAUAGAAUAAAAUUGCAAUUUGUUCAUUUUUUAUUCAUUUGAAAA